UUUUAGCUUUGAAAAACAGAGAGAGAGAGAGAGAGAGAGAGAGAGAGGUAUCAGCAACUAAGAGAAAACCUCUAUUAAUCAAUUUAAUGUUUAAUUCUAAUUCCAAUUCUGGGGGUUCGGUUUAUUUUAGUAUAGAAUUCUUCUUGGCUUCUUGUGAUUGCUAUUCACUUCCAUCACAACAAAUCCAUUGUGGGAUGUUAAGACCAGACUCCAGAUUAUGAAUAAUAUUUUGACCUGCCCCCCUCCGGUGAGUUCAAUGCCAUACAAUAAUUAAGUUUUGUUGAGUGAUUUGGUUUAGAAUGACAUACACAGCGAUUAACAAUUUCUACUUAACCGAUGAGCAUCUAAAGAACUCACCUUCUAGGAAAGAUGGUAUUGAUGAAGAUACUGAAACUACCUUACGAAUCUAUGGCUGUGAUCUCAUCCAAGAAGGGAAUGAGGCUGGAUGUAAUUCCUUAAAAAGAUACGCUUUCUGCAUUGACAAGGAUAGCACAUGAGGAAGGCAUUCGAGCAUUGUACAUGAAAAGGAGGCUGGAUGAGAUAAGAUUUCAGCAAUACAGCCGAACCUUUGUUCAAUCAUGGAUCCUACAAGGGAAUCUUCUCGCUGUUACAACAGCAGACAACGUAUUCAAGAUACUUGCAAAUGCUGCUGGUCUCAGAUCUUUAAGACCCAUUGAACCCCCCAUCUUUUGAUGCAUUGAGAUCGCCCAUUGAAUCGGCUGCAGCCAAGGUAGCUGGCUCUCCUGCCAUCACAAAUGAUAAUCCAGUCAAUUGCAAAGUGGAAAGGAGCUCUCCUGUCAGGCCUUCUCCAAUUAUUAAUGGAGUUGAUCCAAAUGGUAGAAGCAUGGAAAAGCCAAAAACCAAGGAGGAUGUAACUGAUAGAACCAAACCUUGGCAGUUGUCUGAAAUUGUGGAUGCUGUCCAGUUCCGAUUAGUUACCAUGCCUGAAGGCACAGAUUCUUCCAGCAAGGUUGUUCGACUUCUAUAUGCAAAUUCUGGCAUUUGGGUCAGAUGGUGUUCAGAAGCUGUGGAAAUGGGCAGGGAACGAACGAAAUCCAAAUGGAAAGGCCACUGCCAAUAUUGUUCCUCAACACUGGCAACCAAACAGUGGUCUUCUUAUGGCUAAUGAUGUCUCAGGUGUCAUCCUUGAAGAAUCAGUACCAUGUAUAGCACUAUCAAAAAAUGACUCAUGUGAUGUCAGCCUGUGGUGAAAAGGUUUCAUUAUUUAAUAUGAUGACAUUCAAGGUAAUGACAACAUUUAUGCCGGCACCCCCUGCUUCUACCUUCCUAGCAUUUCAUCCUCAAGACAAUAACACACAUCAUAGCUAUUGGAAUGGAGGAUUCAGUUAUACACAUAUAAUGUUAGAGUUGAUAAGGUAAAAUCAAAACUGAAGGGACACCAUAAGCGAAUAACUGGUUUAGCUUUUUCAAUGAAUCUUAAUAUCCUGGUUUCGUCAGGGGCUGAUGCUCAAGUAAGUGGCAUAUGUGGUUCUUUUGCUAUUUAAUACUAUUACAAUACAAUAAUAAUUGUCAAAAAAUUGUAAAGAAGUAAGAUCCUUUUGGUAACAUAAGGAUGUUACUUCUUUAAAAUCUGCUUAAAAUUAGUAGGAUUUUUUAAGGUGUUGAAUGUCCUCAGCAUGUUAUUAAACAGUCUUUUAUGAGAUCUGUGUAUGACUGAAUUACCAUUAUAUGCGGUAUAGCUUCCUCAUCUUGUUUUAGACCUUUUGAAUUUCAGGUUGUCAUUCUUUAGGAGUGUUUUGUAUAUUGGAACUAUCUUUUCUUUUGAAUAAAGAUUCUUUUACUUACGUUAGGAAAAAAAUCAUCAUAGGCUUUUUACAUGAAUUAUGCUCCUAUCUUGAGACUUAGAUGCCAAAAAUUGAUAUUUUAUUAUAAACCUUAGAGCUUUACUUUCAGUGCUUUUGGGUCUUAGAAUGUAACACUAAAAAUAUAUAUAUU